rnacentral:rRNA from 1 species
GCAUAUCAAUAAGCGGAGGAAAAGAAACCAACAGGGAUUGCCCUAGUAACGGCGAGUGAAGCGGCAACAGCUCAAAUUUGAAAUCUGGCGCAAGCCCGAGUUGUAAUUUGUAGAGGAUGCUUCUGGGCAGCGGCCGGUCUAAGUUCCUUGGAACAGGACGUCACAGAGGGUGAGAAUCCCGUACGUGACCGGCGCGCACCCUCCACGUAGCUCCUUCGACGAGUCGAGUUGUUUGGGAAUGCAGCUCUAAAUGGGAGGUAAAUUUCUUCUAAAGCUAAAUACCGGCCAGAGACCGAUAGCGCACAAGUAGAGUGAUCGAAAGAUGAAAAGCACUUUGGAAAGAGAGUUAAAAAGCACGUGAAAUUGUUGAAAGGGAAGCGCUUGCAACCAGACUCCGCGGCGGUGUUCCGCCGGUCUUCUGACCGGUCCACUCGCCGCCGCGGGGCCAACAUCGUCUGGGGCCGCCGGAUAAGACCGCAGGAAUGUGGCUCCCUCGGGAGUGUAUAGCCUGCGUGAUGCGGCGCGCCUCGGGCGAGGUCCGCGCU